GUCUAGAGUUAACAAACCCUUCCUUGGGAGGAAAAUGAGGCAUACGGUUUAAUGAUUAGUAUCUAUUUUUUUCUGGCUAAAUUUAGAACUCUAGUGACUAUCUCUAUUUUUUCCCAAUUUGUAGUGCAUUUUGGUGAUGCAGAUUAAUGGGUUUCAUUUUUGCAGAAUCAGAGGGGCACAUGGCAUACUCUUUCCAUCUUUCCCCUGUCAUCUGCCCGCCUCUCCACCCCCAGUUUUGCACACUUUCGGGGGCUUCAAUGUGCAUAAUGUAGUUUGAUCAUAUUCACACCACACAACCCACCCACACACCCCUUCUUUCUCCUUCUUUCUUAUUCCCUUCCUCUUGUUAGUAACAGUCUCCCUUCUACCUUCUUGUCAUUUUUUUAGAUUUCACAUCUUGGAGAGAACAUGUGACGUUUGUCUUUCUGAUUUGGGCAGCUACUCUUGUGAGACAUGUUGAGGAUGGGACAGCAGCUGAUCUACAGCUAAGACCCUGGUUACUCUUAACCCGCUGUCAGCAAGUAGAGAGAAAUAUGUUACAUAUGUGGAAUCAGAAUUCCUUCCAGCAGGUCUUAGAGGCAGGAAUGAGUGCUCAUCCCAUAGGAAAUUGUUUUCCUUUUUAUGAAAGUAAUCAUUUCACUGUUCAGGCAGCGACUGUGUCCGGCUGUGCCCACGUGUGA
rnacentral:lncRNA from 1 species